UACUGGAGCGGCACGUCUGUCAAACGGUAACGCAGGUGUCCUAAGGCGAGCUCAGCGUGGACGGAAAUUACACGUCGAGCAAAAGCUCGCUCGAUCUCGAUUUUCAGUAUGAAACAAGUAAAAGAUAAAAUGAUAGGCAUUACUACAUUUUGG
rnacentral:ncRNA from 1 species